ensembl:lncRNA
UUUUUUCCAAUCAUACAGUAGAUAGGGUGAAUACAAAGCUGUCUAGAGUCUGAAAUCCAGACAGAGUGAAACUACCAAAUUUGAGCUUGGGAGAGCAGAAGGUGAUGUUUUCCCCCUAAGACUCUGAGUGUAACUUAUCGCAGCCAAGAAAAUUGAUAGAACCCAGACCGCCCCCUCACUGCAACCACUAUGGACGGCAGUGAUUUUUUCUAAAGUUGUCUAAACUCAGCAAGACUUUAUUACAAUGAGCAGUAGGCACACGUUUGGUCUUGAAGGCCAAUGUGUGAAAUGCAAUGUAGCUGAUACACUUUAUGGCAGGGCACUUUGGGUUUGAGCAAGUGUGGAGUGCUGAUAACAGGCAUACUCCUGUGCUCUUUAAAUCUUUUAAAAGUCACUGUAAAAAAGUAAAUUUCAGUAAGUUCAAUAACAUGCACCCAAUUUAUCUUUCUUGUGAUGUUGACAGAGCUGAUCUGAUGUACGCCUGGGUGGACUCCUAAAUAUACAUACUGUACCUCUGUGAAAGCGAGUUUCAGGGCGUGCAAAUCCAGUUAUUCCUGUCUGUCCUCUGAGAGUCAGUCAUUCUGGAGCAUACAACGUCAAGCAAAGCCUUUUUUUUAUUUUGCAUGAUUGCACAUGCUUUUUCACUUUUAAAUAGAUCCUCUAAAUACAUUUAACAGAUGUCACGUGUAUAGUUCACAGAAUCAGUUGUAUUUGGUGCUUCAAUAUAUACAGUAGUGUGAAGUACAAAUGCACUUUAAAUGCACUUCCUUCAUGUUUUUCAGUCUUUUGCUGUUAUAUUUGCAAUAUAUUAACUUUUAAAGAUACUUUCAAAUUACACUACAGUUAAAACUGUAAUCAGUUACUUUGCUUUUGCUUUAGUAUGUUGGGCAACACAUCCAAAUAAGCAUACUUAUAAAAGUAACUUUUCAUUUGACAUUAUUACAAAGUGUGCUUUUUAAAAGACACUUCAUGAAAUCAUACUCUUGAAAAUCACAAUUGCACUCAUGUGGAUUUUAUUUAAUUACAAGUACAGUUUUCGUGUAUUUUUAAGAUUUGAAAUACAGUAUAAGUACACAUUCAAUAAGUGCAUUUCUUUCAUACGGGUGAUAAUGUAAAUAAAUAAUGUAAAUGUAAAUAAUGUAAAGGGUUACCAAUAGCUUGGUUUCAUGGAAUCAGAUUCUAACUUUGGAACCACAGCAAUGUACUAGUUAGUAUAAUCAUGGUGGAACUAACAUAUGUGCACAACUCAUUUGUUACUCCAUCACCUUCUGUUGGUUUCUGUGUAGACCUGGGCUGCUGGGUGGUCAGAACGGCAGCGCAGGAGUCGGCAAUCCUGGUGCACAUGAAACACAGAGUGUAGCGGCAGUCAUCCGAGCAGAUGAGACAGCAGCCGUCCAGACAGAACUGACAGCACAGGUUAAAGCAGCGGUCCACACAGGGCUCAUCCCGGUGACACUUGUCCCCACAGCUUUCCCUGCACUCAGAACAUGGCAUCCAUAGCAGCUUUUUUUCAUUUUUACUUUCCAUGAGCUGGA